rnacentral:rRNA from 1 species
GUAGGUGGCAAGCGUUGUCCGGAAUUAUUGGGCGUAAAGCGCGCGCAGGCGGUUCUUUAAGUCUGAUGUGAAAGCCCACGGCUCAACCGUGGAGGGUCAUUGGAAACUGGAGAACUUGAGUACAGAAGAGGAAAGCGGAAUUCCACGUGUAGCGGUGAAAUGCGUAGAGAUGUGGAGGAACACCAGUGGCGAAGGCGGCUUUCUGGUCUGUAACUGACGCUGAGGCGCGAAAGCGUGGGGAGCAAACAGGGAUUAGAUACCCUGGUAGUCCACGCCGUAAACGAUGAGCGCUAAGUGUUAGGGGGGUUUUCCGCCCCCCUUAGUGCUGCAGCUAACGCAUUAAGCACUCCGCCUGGGGAGUACGGCCGCAAGGCUG